CAGCAGCCGCGGUAAUACCGGCGGCCCGAGUGGCGGUCACUAUUAUUGGGCUUAAAGCGUCCGUAGCCGGGGUGGGAAGUCCUCCGGGAAAUCUGGCCGCUUAAAGGUCAGAAUGCCGGAGGAUACUCCCAGCCUAGGGAGCGGGAGAGGCCGAGGGGAUUCCCGGGGUAGGGGUGAAAUCCUAUAAUCCCGGGAGGACCACCUGUGGCGAAGGCGCUCGGCUGGAACGCGUCCGACGGUGAGGGACGAAGGCCAGGGGAGCAAACCGGAUUAGAUACCCGGGUAGUCCUGGCUGUAAACGAUGCGGACUUUGUGUCGGACAAGCUAUGAGCUUGUCCGGUGCCGGAGGGAAACCGUUAAGUCCGCCGCCUGGGGAGUACGGCCGCAAGGCUGAAACUUAAAGGAAUUGGCGGG
rnacentral:rRNA from 1 species